GACGAACCGUGCGAACGUUAUUCGGAAUCACUGGGCUUAAAGGGCGCGUAGGCGGGUCAUCAAGUCCGGGGUGAAAGCCCACGGCCCAACCGUGGAAGUGCCUUGGAUACUGAAGACCUCGAGGGGGAUAGGGGCGUGCGGAACUCAGGGUGGAGCGGUGAAAUGCGUAGAUAUCCUGAGGAACACCGGUGGCGAAAGCGGCGCGCUGGAUCCCUUCUGACGCUGAGGCGCGAAAGCCAGGGGGAGCAAAGCGGG
rnacentral:rRNA from 1 species